UGGGGAAUUUUGGACGAAUUGGGGGCAACCCGUGAUCCAGCAAUGCCGCGUGUGUGAAGAAGGCCUUCGGGUUGUAAAGCACUUUUGUCCGGAAAGAAAACGUCGUGGUUAAUACCCGUGGCGGCUGACGGUACCGGAAGAAUAAGCACCGGCUAACUACGUGCCAGCAGCCGCGGUAAUACGUAGGGUGCAAGCGUUAAUCGGAAUUACUGGGCGUAAAGCGUGCGCAGGCGGUCCGCUAAGACAGAUGUGAAAUCCCCGGGCUUAACCUGGGAACUGCAUUUGUGACUGGCGGGCUAGAGUAUGGCAGAGGGGGGUAGAAUUCCACGUGUAGCAGUGAAAUGCGUAGAGAUGUGGAGGAAUACCGAUGGCGAAGGCAGCCCCUGGGCCAAUACUGAGCUCAUGCACGAAAAGCGUGGGGAGCAAAACAGGAUUAGAUACCCUGGUAGUCCACGCCCUAAACGAUGUCAAAC
rnacentral:rRNA from 1 species